CACUGAUAGCCUUCUAACAGUACCAUGAGACAUCAUUCUAGGGUGUAGUUAUUUCACUAUCAUAUGAAUUGAGGAUUACUAAUAGAAAAGUCCCAUUCUUGUUGCUAGUGUUUGAGUCUAAUGUUUCAUCUUCAGUCCUAAUAAUUCACUGUUCCUGAUGCUGAGUAUUUGGCAAGUAUUUGACAAAUCCUGGUUGAUUCCUGAAAACCUGAGAUGGAAGAUUGUGAUUUCAGUUGUGUAAAUUUAAGGGACCAAGCACCCACACAGACUGCUAAAUGAUUGGUAAUUGCAGGUAACAUAGGUAACCUAACAUUAAUUAGCUUAAAAGAUAUCUGUAUACUCUGCAGGUUUUCCUCCAUUUAUGAGAUGGUUACACCCCAGUAGUGAAUAUCGUACUGGAUAUCGCUGGCCCAGGUCAGCCUUGAUUACCUAUAUAAGUCCUGCCUGCCAUCAUGGGAUCUGUAAAGAGGUAAGAUUUGUCCUAAGAGUAUACUGAAGCAUUAUGUUCUGUGCUCAACAUCACUGGUAACAGACACCAUCCCAGUAACGUCAAAAAAUGUUAAUGACUCAGUGCCCAAAUGGGCAAUUCCAAG
ensembl:lncRNA